rnacentral:rRNA from 1 species
GACGAACGCUGGCGGCGUGCUUAACACAUGCAAGUCGAACGGAAAGGCCCUGCUUUUUUGGUGUGCUCGAGUGGCGAACGGGUGAGUAACACGUGAGUAACCUGCCCUUGACUUUGGGAUAACUUCAGGAAACUGGGGCUAAUACCGUAUAGGAUCUCCUGCUGCAUGGUGGGGGUUGGAAAGUUUCGGCGGUUGGGGAUGGACUCGCGGCUUAUCAGCUUGUUGGUGGGGGAGUGGCUUACCAAGGCUUUGACGGGUAGCCGGCCUGAGAGGGUGACCGGCCACAAUGGGACUGAGAGACGGCCCAGACUCCAACGGGAGGCAGCAGUGGGGAAUAUUGCACAAUGGGAGGGAGCCUGAUGCAGCAACGCCGCGGGCGGGAUGACGGUCUUCGGGUUGUAAAACGCUUUCGCCUGUGACGAAGCGUGAGUGACGGUAAUGAGUAAAGAAGCACCGGCUAACUACGUG